rnacentral:rRNA from 1 species
CCUACGGGAGGCAGCAGUGGGGAAUUUUCCGCAAUGGGCGAAAGCCUGACGGAGCAAUACCGCGUGAGGAAAGACUGCCUAUGGGUUGUAAACCUCUUUUUUCAGGGAGGAAUAAAUGACGUGUACCUGAAGAAUAAGCAUCGGCUAACUCCGUGCCAGCAGCCGCGGUAAGACGGAGGAUGCAAGUGUUAUCCGGAAUCACUGGGCGUAAAGCGUCUGUAGGUGGUUUAAUAAGUCAACUGUUAAAUCUUGAGGCUCAACUUCAAAAUCGCAGUCGAAACUAUUAGACUAGAGUAUAGUAGAGGUAAAGGGAAUUUCCAGUGGAGCGGUGAAAUGCGUAGAUAUUGGAAAGAACACCGAUGGCGAAAGCACUUUACUGGGCUAUUACUAACACUCAGAGACGAAAGCUAGGGUAGCAAAUGGGAUUAGAUACCCCAGUAGUCCUAGCCGUAAACUAUGGAUACUAGAUGUUGAACAGAUCGACCUGUGCAGUAUCAAAGCUAACGCGUUAAGUAUCCCGCCUGGGAAGUAUGCUCGCAAGAGUGAAACUCAAAGAAUGACGG